rnacentral:lncRNA from 1 species
GUUUUCCCGCCUUUUAUCACUUUUCAUUUUCCUUUCUAAAACUCAACAAUCCAUAUAUCAGUUCCCCAUUCUCUUUUCCCCUUUAAAUUCUUAAUAAUUUUCCUUAAACCUUUCUUAAUUCCUCAGGCAUUUGUCUAUAAAAAUCUUAAUCAUCAAAUCAUUUCAUAAUUUCUACUUUAGCAAAUCUUAACUCGAACCAACUUUAAAAUUGUUUUCCAGUUUAAUUCUCU